rnacentral:snRNA from 1 species
GUGCUCACUUGGACAGCGCAUAUUCUAAAAUAGGAGUGAUAUAGAGAAGACUAGUAUGGUCCCUGCACAAGGAUGACACACAAAUUCAUAACAAAUUCAGUGUUUUU